GCCUAAAGCGUCCGUAGCCGGCUCUGUAAGUUUUCGGUUAAAUCCAUAUGCUCAACAUAUGGGCCGCCGGGAAUACUGCAUAGCUAGGGAGUGGGAGAGGUAGACGGUACUCCGUAGGAAGGGGUAAAAUCCUUUGAUCUAUGGAUGACCACCUGUGGCGAAGGCGGUCUACCAGAACACGUUCGACGGUGAGGGAUGAAAGCUGGGGGAGCAAACCGGAUUAGAUACCCGGGUAGUCCCAGCUGUAAACUAUGCAAACUCAGUGAUGCAUUGGCUUGUGGCCAAUGCAGUGCCGCAGAGAAGUCGUUAAGUUUGCCGCCUGGGAAGUACGUACGCAAGUAUGAAACUUAAAGGAAUUGGCGGGGGAGCACCACAAGGGGUGAAGCCUGCGGUUCAAUUGGAGUCAACGCCAGAAAUCUUACCCGGAGAGACAGCAGAAUGAAGGUCAAGCUGAAGACUUUACCAGACAAGCUGAGAAGUGGUGCAUGGCCGUCGCCAGCUCGUGCCGUGAGGUGUCCUGUUAAGUCAGGUAACGAGCGAGAUCCCUGCCUCUAGCUGCCACCAUUACUCUCAGGAGUAGUGGGGCGAAUUAGCGGGACUGCCGCAGUUAAUGCGGAGGAAGGAGGGGGCCACGGCAGGUCAGUAUGCCCCGAA
rnacentral:rRNA from 1 species